UUGAUCAUUCAAAUGUCUGCCCUAUCAACUAUUGAUGGUAGUAUAGAGGACUACCAUGGUUGCAACGGGUAACGGGGAAUCAGGGUUCGAUUCCGGAGAGGGAGCCUGAGAAACGGCUACCACAUCUAAGGAAGGCAGCAGGCGCGUAAAUUACCCAAUCCCGGCACGGGAGGUAGUGACAAAAAUAACAAUACAGGACUCACAUCCGAGGCCCUGUAAUUGGAAUGAGUACACUUUAAAUCUUUUAACAAGUAACAAUUGGAGGGCAAGUCUGGUGCCAGCAGCCGCGGUAAUUCCAGCUCCAAUAGCGUAUAUUAAAGUUGUUGCGGUUAAAACGUUCGUAGUUGAAUUUGUGUCCCACACGGGUAAUGCACCCAAGUGCGGGUUUUGCAUUACUUGUUGCACUGUGCGUUCUGUGUAAAAGCAAGCGUAUAGUGUGACUUUAAGUGUGACGGAUGUUUUACCGGUGAGGGAAACGACUAAUUAUGCCCCUAUAUUGACUUUCGAGUUUGAUAUAGGUAAAGCAUAUUAAUACGCCCCUUAUGUUAAAAGACCCAUUUUAGUGCUCUUUACCGAGUGCUAUUGUGGGCCGGUACAAUUACUUUGAACAAAUUAGAGUGCUUAAAGCAGGCUAAAUUUAAUGAAAAUUAAAACGCCUGAAUAUAUUUUGCAUGGAAUAAUGGAAUAUGACCUCUGGUCUAUUUGAUAGGUUUUUAGAUGCCAAGAGGUAAUGAUUAAUAGAAGCAGUUGGGGGCAUUAGUAUUACCAGGCGAGAGGUG
rnacentral:rRNA from 1 species